GUGUUGGAGGCGGAGGAGAAACGUGUAAUCACCCAAACAACCAUUUUUACCCAGUGCACCCCCUCUGGCUCUGUGUCGCAAGUCUGCAGGUUAUCUGUCUUUCACUGCGGAUACCGCGGAGGGAGGCCGGACCGUGAGGGAGACAGUAAGAGGAGGAAGAGGAAAAUCAGAAGCCCAGGAGGACAGGAAAUCGCAUGCCAGAAACACAUUACUCCUGAAGUCCAAUUUGCGUGAGUUCUAUUAUUAGAACUUCUGUUUGACCAGACCAUACCUCAGGGCGCUGGGUCUUUAUCGGCAGGACUGGGGAAGCAGAGAUCACCGGACUGGUAAUUGUUUCCUCUAAAUCUGCUGAGCUCUGAGGAACACCAAGUGCAGUUUUUCAUCAGACAGAGAAUGAGAGGGUAAAAGGACAAUACUAAGAAAAGCAAAAAUGCUUUAGUCCAUCAUGUUGGUUUUUAUCACUUCAUCUAACAAGUGAGUAAGGCCACUAGCCUUCCACACAACAUAAUUAUAAACACAGCUUUUGCCACUGCUAUGUUCACUGGAGAAAGGUUGAUGUUGGUUUCUGCUGCUGCUGAGCAGCAUACAACAUUUUCUUUAAACAUGGCUACCAGAAAGAAAAGAGGGGUGGGGGAAUACACAAUAAAUUGCAUACAUAUUUUAAAUUUGAUAGAAACAGAAGGAGAAUUGAGGUGUUUUGAAAAGCACCUUAGCGCUAACUUGAUUUGACAUUUUCCUAUUGAGUCAAAGCUCAGCAAUAGGCCUGAUAUCUCAUUUAGCUGGAAAGUGAUGUGCUCUCCUCGCAGCCACAAAAAGACAUCAGAAAGGCAAAGUACUGCCACUCUCUACUCGGACCAAUUUGUCUCCAUCACUCCAUUCAUAUAAACACUGAAUGAUUUAGCUAAAAUUGUGCAGAGAAUCUUAUGGGGAUUUUUUUCCCCCACUUUAUUUUCAUUAUUCUUCCGAGUAUGUUAGAGGUUUCGAUUCUAUGUGUGCGUUUGGCUUUGAAAGUCUCAGAUUUAGUGCUGUGGUAUUGGCUCAUUUUUCAUAUCCAUUGUUGGCUUGUCAGGGUGUCAUAGCUGUUCCACAGAGCUGUUAGAUCAGUCCAAAUGUAUAAAUCAUCCAGGAUCUGACACACUCAUUUAAUUUGGGGGGCCCUGGUGCAGCAGCGGGCCUAUUAAUGAAAAAUCCCUGCCCUGUUUGCUGAGUGGGAACAUUCAGCCUUUUUUAUUUUAUCUUUUAUUAACAUUGAUAUUCUGUAUGAUUUCCCUCAGUAGCCUGUUGGCUGCCAACCUGGCACAUUGUCAUUUAUCAUCAUGUUAUGUUUGUCAAUCUGUUGAAUUAUUUCAUUCAAAAGUCCUUAUGAAAAUCACUUUGCAUAUUAAGAAAAAGGGGCAAACUCUGAGGGCGCUAGGUGGGCCAAACCUCUCACAUUCCUCAGUGCAGCGGUGGUUCCAACCCCGGAGCCUGUGUUAUUGUUUUCCAUCUGUGAAAUAAAGUAACAGGUACUUAAUGUACCAAAAACAAUUUGUACAGCAGUUCUUUUUCCCCAUUGAAGGCAAGCAUGGCUCGCUGAGGGCUCCCCUUAUCUCAGCGAGGCUAAUCCAUUUUCACACUGCGCUCCGGCGCUCUCAUUUUACAGCUGAGGAGCUCUCCGGCUCCACGCUGGGCCUGAAAUGGGACCCCAGUCACUGUGGCCCCUUGGAGUUUGCGUAGGUAAGUGUGCAGAACAAAUGCUGAAAAGUCUUUAAAAAGUUAAAGGGACUAGUUUGGCUUUUUUUUUCUCUCUCUCUCUCUCACUGGGUCCCACCUGAUCACCUACAUUUUUCCUGCAUUUCACAGUGUGAGCUGCUGUGCUUGAGCGCUGUCACAGGAGAGUGUUGGAAAUUGGAGGAGCAUGCAGAAAGUCAAAAGAUGGUGUAUAUCUGUGAGUUAUUAUGUACUGGUGUGCACUGAUGAACUGUUUGUUUCUUGUUUGUUUUUUGUGAAUGUAUGUGAAUUCACAGGCGUUACUAUGAUCUAUUAAAGUGUAUGUCACAGCAUAAAACUUUGUCAAGUCGAUGCACUUGUGCAGACUGAUAUAAAGCCACUGUUUAUAAAGAAUUUAUUAAUACCACAUGUGUAAACUGCAGUAUGAGCUACGUAAAUGGG